rnacentral:rRNA from 1 species
GUAGGGAAUCUUGCGCAAUGGGCGAAAGCCUGACGCAGCCAUGCCGCGUGAAUGAUGAAGGUCUUAGGAUUGUAAAAUUCUUUCACCGGGGACGAUAAUGACGGUACCCGGAGAAGAAGCCCCGGCUAACUUCGUGCCAGCAGCCGCGGUAAUACGAAGGGGGCUAGCGUUGCUCGGAAUUACUGGGCGUAAAGGGAGCGUAGGCGGAUAGUUUAGUCAGAGGUGAAAGCCCAGGGCUCAACCUUGGAAUUGCCUUUGAUACUGGCUAUCUUGAGUUUGGGAGAGGUGAGUGGAACUCCGAGUGUAGAGGUGAAAUUCGUAGAUAUUCGGAAGAACACCAGUGGCGAAGGCGACUCACUGGCCCAAUACUGACGCUGAGGCGCGAAAGCGUGGGGAGCAAACAGGAUUAGAUACCCGUGUAGUCC